CCUUAUGAAUAGUAUUUUUUGGUGUUAUGACAUAGCUGCCCUUAAUUUUAAGGAAUUGCCGAGUUUGCCCUUGCUUAGGCACUUGGAUUUUGCCAUCUGUAUUGGAGAGGCCAGUUGUUCUUCAUGGCUUUUGUUGCAGUGACAGCUGGGGUAUAUUGUUCUUGCAAGAGUUGCUUUUCUUCUUUCUCUCUCUUAACUCUUAAGUCUUCUUCCUUCUUCUCCUCUCACUGUAUUUCUCUCUCCUCCCGUUUCUCCUCUACCCGCUCUCACUCUCUAUCUCCUCCAUUGGAGCAGUUUCUGAGCUACAAAACCAUAAAAUUUAUGAUUUAAUUUUGUUUAUUUUUUGUGUUCAUCUCUUCAAUUAGAUUUUCCUUUUAUUUGACUGAUUAAAUUAUUGUUUAUUUCUGGGUUUUUUCCGCAGUUGAAUUCUUUGGGUGGUUACAGAAAUUCUUCCCCUUUUCUAUGAUCUAGAUUGUUGUUUUUAAUUUUUUUUUUCAUUUUCUGCGUUUUUGUUGUUUUAAUUAGUAAGGAUUUGGGAGAUUGAUGAUUUUCAUCAGUUUUUUUUUUUUUUCCUUCGUAAUGCAGGUUUAGGUGAUGGUAAUUUGUGCGUGAAAAAUUAAAACAACAAAACGCCCCCAUUUGCGGCUCCCUUCUCUACAACAAAGGCCUCCUCCGAGCAGGUACCCAAAAUCAGUAAUUGGUACUAUUCACAAGCUAUUGGUGCCAUUAACAUAGAUACCCAAAAUCAGUAAUUGGUACUUGAUUUAUCUGUUUAUUUGUUUGAAGAAUUCUUUGGUUAAUUAUGGUUUGUUGAUUAAGGAAUUAUGGGUAUGUAUUAAGGAAUAAUGGGUUAAUUAUGCUGAAAUUUUGUUAAUGGCAUUUGGCAGAGUUGAAUUUAAUUUGAGUAUGAAAGCAAUUGAUUAACACUUACCCAACAUAAAUUAUUUGCUUAGGAAUUAUUUUGUGGGUAUUAUGGUAGUGUGUGGGAUCGUUGUGGUGUGGUAGUGUGUGGGAUCGUUGUGCGGUGCUUGUGAGUUAGUUGUUGUGGUGCGAUCGUUAUUGUGUUCUUUUUCUUGAGUAUCACUUUUCCGUGCUUGUUGCUGCUGCAAGGGUUGUUUAAUUUGUUUUGUUUGGGGCUGCUGUGCUUCCUUCCUAAUUGAGUACUUGUGUGUGUGUGUUCUUGAUAUAUUGAUAACUAAUUCAAUGACUCUAGCUUACUAGCUUGCUACUAAGGUUUAUCUUCAUUCCCAUGGUUUCCUUUAUUCUAAUCAUUUUAGAAUUGAGAAUUUCUCAAUUUAAUUUGAUAAAAAAUUGGGGGUUUCUAAUUUAGUUGAGUUCGUUUAAAAUUGUGGGGAUUUCUCGAUUCAAUUCAAUACGUUUUAAAAUUGUAGUUUUCCGGUUUAAUUCAAUUAGUUCAUAAUUUUGGGGUGCUUUCGAUGCAAUUUGGUAAAAAAAUAGAGAUUUGAUUUCUCAGCAUUCUAAAGUUAGCAUAAAUAAGCUAUUUGCACUGCUUCCUUUCCUGCGAAGAAGGAAAGGCUUUUGAACCCUGUUCCAAGCUGGAAGACCUGAAUUUGGAGGUUAGACAGAACUCUGGAUUGAUGGAAAAGAGGUAUCUACUCCACUCUUACUAAUUUAGACCUUAGAAGUUUGGUGUGUCGGACUAAGGGAAUUUUGUAAUUCAGCGAAAGCUUGAGUCUAUUACUUAUAACCUGUAAGCCUGCCGUCAGCAGCUUAUAAUUUCAUAUCUUAUGAGUUCCGAUCCCACUGUCCCACUGCCAGAUUUUAGUUUUCAUAGUAUCUCCUGGGUUACAAAAGAUUUUUUGCUUGGUUUUUCUAAUUCACUCUAGCAGUUAAUAAUUUUGUACUAUUUGUUGCACUUGUGUAUUAACCAAUGGUUAGAUUUGAUACAGGAGGAAGUUUGGGUGUUAUUUAUUUUUUCAGGCACAACUAGGAUUUAUAAUGCAUGCCAUGGUAGGAUGGAAGGAACACAUAAAUAUAUAGUGAUAAUUGAUAAACAUGUCAACUGCUUGAACACAGGUCAAUUGGGAAUUAUUCCGGAUGACCUAGAGUCAUUAAUAGCAUGAGAGUUCAAGGAGUUACUAAUGUCAUGCAUAGACAAUUCACCAUCUAUAUUAUCUUAUUUGAAAGGCUUUUUGAGAUUCUGGAAUUUGAUUUUAAGUUUUCAAGCUUUUGCAAGUUUCAGCAUGCUGAAAAGCAGGGCUAGGUCAACAUUAAAGCAGAGGCAUAUGGACCUUGCAGUGCUACUUUAUGUGGUACUUUUAUAUGCAACAUUUGGGACAAGUUGUAUUCUUUUGCUUCUCAAUUCUAUAAUUUAGUCUUCAGUAUUUUUUAUUUCCUUGAAUAGGAGUGAGUUGGAUUUUUUGCUCUCCUUCAGAAUUAUUGCGUUUUAAGGGGUGCUACUUGCUGCUCAAUGAACUUUUUCUCCAAUACCAUAGCUCCCCUAGAUCCUUGCGUACCAAUUGCAUGUCCUAGAAGAUUCUGACUAAUUAUUUUGACGUUCAAUUUGGCUUAUAUGGCUUUAGGUACUUUUUUGUUUUAUUACUCUGACAUGGCUUUAGGUACUUGAUUGGUUUUGGCAAUUAUCUUACUAACUUGAUUAAUUAGUAUUAGAUUAUGUUUAAUGAUUUUUCAAUUGGGUGAAAAUCUGGAAUGGCUUUUUCUCAUUGGCUUUGUUUUGCCCAAAAUUUGUUGUUUUUACCAUAAUUCUAGCUGACUAAACAACUAAUAAACUGGUCUCCAAAAAAAGAUCCUUGAUGGCUUGAUAUGAAACUUUACUUCAAGUAACAGCUAAAAUUUUAUCAUUUUUUUUAUCAUUCCUUAUGAAUAGUAUUUUUUGGUGUUAUUACAUAGCUGCCCUUAAUUUUAAGGAACUGCCAAAAUUGCCCUUUCUUAGCCAAUUGCAGCCUUAAUUAUUUAUCUGAUUGAGAUCGUUAAAUGUCUUAAGUGAUUAUUUUCUUAAUGAAGGUUUGCUAGAUAAUUUGCUCUGACAAGCAGAGGAGUCAAGAACCCUCGCGUUACCAUCUUGGAACUGUUGCUCUUCGAACAUUUGAUGAGGGAAAUUGCCGUAGAAACGGAUAGGCCAAUGGAUCUCAAAAAGGUAGACCCCCCCCCCCCCCCCCGACGCUAUGCUAUGAAUGAUGAUGAAGGUUGCAAGAUAAUUUGCUCUGACAAGCAGAGGAGUCAAGAACCCUCUCGUAACCAUCUUGGAACUGUUGCUCUUGGUCUUCGGUUAAUACUCUAAGGUAGCAACUGCAGCUCAUUGCAUCAAGCAUAUAGCGAUGACAAUUAUGACUUCAAAUAAUAUUGAGCCUCGUAGCUUUUUAACUUAUUCUUUUACACAUUUUGAGAUUCUUCUAAUGUCGAGAAUUUUCUAGGCCCGGAAUUCUAUAUUCUUUGUAAAUUACCUUCUGAUCAUGUGCUCUAUAUAGCUUGGUUUGAUUCUUGUCCAACUGGUUGUGUUAAUAUGUUCUUUUGGAUACAUGUAUAAUCUAUGAAUAUAAUCAAUUUGUUUUGUUUCGGAUAAUUUGGAGUGGAAGUUGCAUGUUAAAUUGUUAAUUGGUUGUA